GACGAACGCUGGCGGCGUGCCUAAUACAUGCAAGUUGAGCGCUGAAGGUUGGUACUUGUUCCUACUGGAUGAGCAGCGAACGGGUGAGUAACGCGUGGGGAAUCUGCCUUUGAGCGGGGGACAACAUUUGGAAACGAAUGCUAAUACCGCAUAAAAACUUUAAACACAAGUUUUAAGUUUGAAAGAUGCAAUUGCAUCACUCAAAGAUGAUCCCGCGUUGUAUUAGCUAGUUGGUGAAGUAAAGGCUCACCAAGGCGAUGAUACAUAGCCGGCCUGAGAGGGGGAUUGGCCAAAGUGGGACUGGGACAAGGCCCAAACCCCUAAGGGAGGGAACAGGAGGGGAUCUUCGGGAAUGGACGGAAGGCUGACCGGGGAAAGCCGGGUGAGUGAAGGAGGGUUUCGGAUCGGAAAAAUCCGUUGAUAGGGAAGAAAGAUGGGGAGAGGGGAAAGCUCAUGAAGUGACGGUAACUACUCAGAAAGGGACGGCUAACUACGUG
rnacentral:rRNA from 1 species